CGCUAUGCUCCUACGGGAGGCAGCAGUGGGGAAUAUUGCACAAUGGGGGAAACCCUGAUGCAGCCAUGCCGCGUGUGUGAAGAAGGCCUUCGGGUUGUAAAGCACUUUCAGUAGGGAGGAAGGUAGUGUAGUUAACACCUGCAUUAUUUGACGUUACCUACAGAAGAAGCACCGGCUAACUCCGUGCCAGCAGCCGCGGUAAUACGGAGGGUGCGAGCGUUAAUCGGAAUUACUGGGCGUAAAGCGCAUGCAGGCGGCCUGUUAAGUCAGAUGUGAAAGCCCCGGGGCUUAACCUCGGAAUUGCAUUUGAAACUGGCAGGCUAGAGUCUUGUAGAGGGGGUAGAAUUUCAGGUGUAGCGGUGAAAUGCGUAGAGAUCUGAAGGAAUACCAGUGGCGAAGGCGGCCCCCUGGACAAAGACUGACGCUCAGAUGCGAAAGCGUGGGGAGCAAACAGGAUUAGAUACCCUGGUAG
rnacentral:rRNA from 1 species